rnacentral:rRNA from 1 species
GACGAACGCUGGCGGCGUGCCUAACACAUGCAAGUCGUGCGAGAAAGUUCCUUCGGGAGCGAGUAAAGCGGCGCACGGGUGAGUAACACGUAGGUAACCUGCCCCCCAGUCUGGAACAACUAGAGGAAACUCUAGCUAAUGCCGGAUGAGACCACGAUCCCUUCGGGGGUUGCGGCCAAAGAUGGCCUCUACUUGUAAGCUAUCGCUGAGGGAUGGGCCUGCGGGCCAUUAGCUUGUUGGUGAGGUAACGGCUCACCAAGGCUGUGAUGGCUAGCUGGUCUGAGAGGAUGACCAGCCACACUGGGACUGAGACACGGCCCAGACUCCUACGGAGGCAGCAGUGGGAAUAUUGCGCAAUGGGCGAAGCCUGACGCAGCGACGCC